GCCUGAGUGGCCGAGCGGUUAAAGGCGCUUCAGUCUGGAACGCUAAGGUCGCAGGUUCGAAUCCUGCCUCGGGCA
rnacentral:tRNA from 1 species